rnacentral:rRNA from 1 species
UACGGAGGGGGCGAGCGUUAUUCGGAAUUACUGGGCGUAAAGGGCUCGUAGGCGGCCAACUAAGUCAGACGUGAAAUCCCUCGGCUUAACCGGGGAACUGCGUCUGAUACUGGAUGGCUCGAGUUUGGGAGAGGGAUGCGGAAUUCCAGGUGUAGCGGUGAAAUGCGUAGAUAUCUGGAGGAAUACCGGUGGCGAAGGCGGCAUCCUGGACCGGCAUUGACGCUGAGGAGCGAAAGCUAGGGGAGCAAACGGG